rnacentral:rRNA from 1 species
UACGUAGGUGGCAAGCGUUAUCCGGAAUUACUGGGUGUAAAGGGCGAGUAGGCGGAUUGACAAGUCAGUAGUGAAAUACCAUGGCUUAACUGUGGAAAUGCUAUUGAAACUGUUGAUCUUGAGUGAUGGAGAGGCAGGCGGAAUUCCCAGUGUAGCGGUGAAAUGCGUAGAUAUUGGGAGGAACACCAGUGGCGAAGGCGGCCUGCUGGACAUUAACUGACGCUGAGGAGCGAGAGCGUGGGGAGCAAACAGGAUUAGAUACCCUGGUAGUCCACGCUGUAAACUAUGGAUACUAGGUGUGGGAAGGCUGACCCUUCCGUGCCGGAGUUAACACAAUAAGUAUCCCACCUGAGGAGUACGGCCGCAAGGUUGAA